rnacentral:rRNA from 1 species
AACGAACGCUGGCGGCAGGCUUAACACAUGCAAGUCGAACGAGCUGAGUCCUUCGGGACUCUAUGCUGGUGGCGCACGGGUGAGUAACACGUGGGAACGUACCCUUUAGUACGGGAUAACCCAGGGAAACUUGGGCUAAUACCGUAUGACCCCUCCGGGGGAAAGGAUUUAUCGCUAAAGGAAUCGGCCCGCGUCAGAUUAGGUAGUUGGUGAGGUAAUGGCUCACCAAGCCGACGAUCUGUAGCUGGUCUGAGAGGAUGAUCAGCCA